GCGAGUGAAGCGGCAACAGCUCAAAUUUGAAAUCUGGCGUCUUUGGCGUCCGAGUUGUAAUUUGCAGAGGGCGCUUUGGCAUUGGCAGCGGUCCAAGUUCCUUGGAACAGGACGUCACAGAGGGUGAGAAUCCCGUACGUGGUCGCUAGCCUUUACCGUGUAAAGCCCCUUCGACGAGUCGAGUUGUUUGGGAAUGCAGCUCUAAAUGGGAGGUAAAUUUCUUCUAAAGCUAAAUACUGGCCAGAGACCGAUAGCGCACAAGUAGAGUGAUCGAAAGAUGAAAAGCACUUUGGAAAGAGAGUUAAAAAGCACGUGAAAUUGUUGAAAGGGAAGCGCUUGCAGCCAGACUUGCCUGUAGUUGCUCAUCCGGGUUUUUACCCGGUGCACUCUUCUAUAGGCAGGCCAGCAUCAGUUUGGGCGGUUGGAUAAAGGUCUCUGUCACGUACCUCCUCUCGGGGAGAACUUAUAGGGGAGACGUAAUGCAACCAGCCUGGACUGAGGUCCGCGCAUCUGCUAGGAUGCUGGCGUAAUGGCUGUAAGCGGCCCGUCUUGAAACACGGACCAAGGAGUCUAACAUCUAUGCGAGUGUUUGGGUGUCAAGCCCGAGCGCGUAAUGAAAGUGAACGGAGGUGGGAACCUUUCGGGGUGCACCAUCGACCGAUCCUGAUGUCUUCGGAUGGAUUUGAGUAAGAGCAUAGCUGUUGGGACCCGAAAGAUGGUGAACUAUGCUUGAAUAGGGUGAAGCCAGAGGAAACUCUGGUGGAGGCUCGCAGCGGUUCUGACGUGCAAAUCGAUCGUCAAAUUUGGGCAUAGGGGCGAAAGACUAAUCGAACUAUCUAGUAGCUGGUUCCUGCCGAAGUUUCCCUCAGGAUAGCAGUAACGUUUUCAGUUUUAUGAGGUAAAGCGAAUGAUUAGAGGCCUGGGGGUUGAAACAACCUU
rnacentral:rRNA from 1 species